GACGAGCGCUGGCGGCGUGCUUAACACAUGCAAGUCGAACGGAAAGGCCGGCUUUCCCUUGUGGAUUGCGGGUACUCGAGUGGCGAACGGGUGAGUAACACGUGAGUGAUCUGCCCCCAACUUGGGUAGAAGCCUGGGAAACUGGGUCUAAUUCCCGAUAGGACUGCAGGGUGGUGCCUGUGGUGGAAAACGAUGUUCUAGUGGUUGGGGAUGAGCUCGCUGCCUAUCAGCUUGUUGGUGGGGUAAUGGCCUACCAAGGCGGCGACGGGGAGCCGGCCUGAGAGGGUGGACGGCGACAUUGGGACUGAGUUCCGGCCCCGACUCCUACGGGCGGCAGCGGUGGGGAGUAUUGGGCAGUGGGCGGGAGCCUGAUGCAGCGCCGCCGUGUGGGGGUUGACGGCCUUCGGGUUGUAAUCUCCUUUCGAACGCGAGGAGGCCAUCUGGUUGGAAGGGUGGUGACGGUAGUGGUAGAAGAAGCACCGGCUAACUACGUG
rnacentral:rRNA from 1 species